GGCGAUGUAGUUAAAUUGGAAAAACCCCUACAUGGCAUGUAGGAAUUGCAAGUUCGAGCCUCGCCAUCGUCA
rnacentral:tRNA from 1 species